UAAGUAGGCGGUGGAAAAUGAACCAAAUGGGAUUCCUUAAGUAAUUGCGAAUGAACAAGGAACUGCUCAGCUUGAAAAUUGGGGCCUUCGGCCUUGAAUUGUAAUUUUGAAAUGUAUUGCCAAUGGAGGCGCAGGUGCAAGCCUAUUGAAAGAAAGCGUCAAUGAGGGUGAGAUUCCUUUUUGUCAUUUGCAGUCCUCCGUGCACGGUAUAUAUUUGACGAGUCACACUCCUUGGCAUUGGAAUGCAAAGUGGGUGGUAAAUUCCAUGUAAAGGAAAAUAUAUUAUUGAGACUGAUAGCAAACAAGUACCAUGAGGGAAAUAUGAAAAGGACUUUGAAAAGAGAAUUAAAAGAGUCUGCAUUUGCUGAACAGAAAGCAAACAGAAUUGAUCUACUUGGUGAGAUUGUUGCGUCCACUUGUGGGUGCAAUGGUUCUUGCCUUGAAUGUCAGCGUCUAUUUCUGCAAAUUAUUACUCUUGCAUAUGAAUUGUAAUUUGCCUGUGGGCAUUGGAAUGCAUGUGUUUGCAAUGAUUUGUGAUUUGAUACAUGUGUCUGGUGUUCGCGUGUGUGCCUUCUUGCUAACACGGGGAGGGCUCUCCUCCCUGGGCACUGCAUGCCCUUGCACAUUGUUGCUGGCAAAAUGUUUCUGCUUGACCCG
rnacentral:rRNA from 1 species